rnacentral:snRNA from 1 species
AGCUUUGUGUAGUGGCAGUAUCGUAGCCAAUGAGGUUUAUCCAAGGCGCGAUUAUUGCUGAUUGAUAACAGUUUUGGUAAGAGUGGUGAAAGUAAAGCUCACAGAGCUGUCCGUGUUGGCUUCGCUGGGUGUGUGCCCUUUUGCAAUAUGAUUUUGCAU